UACGAAGGGGGCUAGCGUUGCUCGGAAUCACUGGGCGUAAAGCGCACGUAGGCGGAUCUUUAAGUCAGGGGUGAAAUCCUGGAGCUCAACUCCAGAACUGCCUUUGAUACUGAGGAUCUUGAGUUCGGGAGAGGUGAGUGGAACUGCGAGUGUAGAGGUGAAAUUCGUAGAUAUUCGCAAGAACACCAGUGGCGAAGGCGGCUCACUGGCCCGACACUGACGCUGAGGCACGAAAGCGUGGGGAGCAAACAGG
rnacentral:rRNA from 1 species